rnacentral:rRNA from 1 species
CCUACGGGGGGCAGUAGCCGAGAAUAUUCGACAAUGGGCGAAAGCCUGAUCGAGCGACGCCGCGUGAUGGAUGAAGUCCUUAGGGACGUAAACAUCUUUUGUGGAGGAAGAAGUUUCGCUUUUGGCGAGAUUGACGGUACUCCAAGAAUAAGGGGUUGCUAAACUCGUGCCAGCAGCAGCGGUAAUACGAGUACCCCAAGCGUUAUCCGGAAUUAUUGGGCGUAAAGGGUGUGUAGGCGGACUGGAUUAGUCUUCUGUUAAAGCCUUGGGCUCAACCCAAGAUAUGCAGGAGAAACGGCCAGACUAGAGGGUGCGAGAGGUGAAUGGAACUCAUGGAGUAGGGGUGAAAUCCGUUGAUAUCAUGGGGAACACCGAAAGCGAAGGCAAUUCACUGGCGCAUUUCUGACGCUGAAACACGAAAGCGUGGGUAGCGAACGGGAUUAGAUACCCCAGUAGUC